GUUGCCCAGGAUGGUCUUGAACUCCUGGCCUCAAGUGAUCCUCCCCUCUUGGCCUCCCAAAGUAUUGGAAUUACAGGCAUGAACCACCUCACCUAGCCCUGCAAUUUUAUUUUUAUUUUCUAAACUGUUGCUGCUCUCCUUAACCCCUACUGACUACCUUUUGCUAUUGAAUUUGCUAUGUGAAAAACCAUUUUAUGUUUUAGAAAUUGGGCCUUUGUCUUACAGUUACUCUCUAAUUCUGGUCUUGAGAAAAAUUUUCAGUUUUACAGGAUGUGAUUGAAAUUACUCUAAUUCACAGGGCAAUUUUAUCUGGAUGGUGGCACUUUAGAAUGCAAGUUUCUCAAUCUCCGUUUAUCUUUUGGUUUGAGGAUAGUGUUUAAGACUAUUAGGAUCACUUGAUUAGUAUCUCUGGGCUUUUGAAAAUAAUUACACAGUGUUAAUGUUUUUAAAAAUUGUUCUAAUGGGUAGGUACAGCGGAGAGCACCAUAAAUGAUUAAAGGUUUAGGAAAGCUCAAGGUCUAGAAUUAUUUAGGCAUAUUAAAGAGAAGGCUGAAAGUAAAAUUCAGUCACUGUUUAUGAAGUCUGUGCUAUAAUGUGACUUUACUAUUCUGGAGAUUUUUUAAUUAAUCAAGAUCUAUUUUACCUGGAGAACGCUGUUUUGAACAGGAAUGGAAUUAGAAUCUUUCUUGAGCUCUGACAUAGUCCUCAGUUCGAAGAAUAGAAUUAACAUUUCCUAGCUGGGUAAGGUACAAAAUCAAAGCUCCACUUCCCCACUGUGAAAUAGGUAUGCUAAUAAUAGUACCCACCUCUUAGGACUAACUGGAAUAAGGCACAUGAAUCUUUCUAGCACAGUGCCUGGCACAUAAUAAGCAUGCAAAAUUUAGCUCUUUCUAAAGAUACAUUUUCUAAAUUAAAUGUCAGUGAUCAACUACAUUUUCUGUGUGUUAAUGUGUAGUUGGGUUACUAAAAUUGUUAGAUUUUCUUAUCAAGAGACCUACUUGUCAUGGAAGUAUACCUCCAUUAAGCAAGCAUGGUAUAAAAAGAAGCCCUGUCUUAUUUAGUACUUAACCAAGUAACCUUUGUGUAUGUAUUUAUUUAUUUUUUCGAGAGAGGUUCUCCCUCUAUCAGCUGGGAGUGCAGUGGUGCAAUCACAGCUCACUGCACAACCUCAGCCUCUCUAGUAGCUGGGACCACAGGCACACACCUCCACACCUAGCUAAUUUUUAAAUUAUUUGUAGAGACUAGAUCCCACUAGUUGCCAGGGCUGCUCUUGAACUCCUGGCCUCAAGUGAUACUCCCACCUCAGCCUCCCAAACUGCUAGGAUUAUAGGCAUGAGCCACCACGCCUGGCCCAAAUAACCUUUUAAAGUUGAGCUUUAUUAAAGCAUAAAGCUGAAUAUAAAGUUGGCUGAUAAAAAUUUUGACAUGAUGCUAAAUAAAUGUAGCAUCUUAACAGUGUUUGCCGUUCUAAACUUGUGUAUGUUUUUUCCUCUGGGUCAAUCAUCUAAAUCUUAAAUUGGGAGUCAUUAAUAUCCAGAUUAGAAGCUGAGAAAUUUUAAAAUCUUAGACUUAUUUUUAGGAAUUAUAAAUAUGUAUUAUUGAAGGGCUAAAAUAUUAAUAGUAUUUUAAAGAAUCAGGGGGUCAGGU